UCGUGCUUUGCGGCACGAGUUGUAGAUUGCAGGUUGGAGUCUGUGUGGAAGGCGGUGUCCAAGUCCCUUGGAACAGGGCGCCCAGGAGGGUGAGAGCCCCGUGGGAUGCCGGCGGAAGCAGUGAGGCCCUUCUGACGAGUCGAGUUGUUUGGGAAUGCAGCUCCAAGCGGGUGGUAAAUUCCAUCUAAGGCUAAAUACUGGCGAGAGACCGAUAGCGAACAAGUACUGUGAAGGAAAGAUGAAAAGCACUUUGAAAAGAGAGUGAAACAGCACGUGAAAUUGUUGAAAGGGAAGGGUAUUGCGCCCGACAUGGGGAUUGCGCACCGCUGCCUCUCGUGGGCGGCGCUCUGGGCUUUCCCUGGGCCAGCAUCGGUUCUUGCUGCAGGAGAAGGGGUUCUGGAACGUGGCUCUUCGGAGUGUUAUAGCCAGGGCCAGAUGCUGCGUGCGGGGACCGAGGACUGCGGCCGUGUAGGUCACGGAUGCUGGCAGAACGGCGCAACACCGCCCCG
rnacentral:rRNA from 1 species